UACGAAGGGGGCUAGCGUUGCUCGGAAUCACUGGGCGUAAAGCGCACGUAGGCGGUUUGCUAAGUCAGGGUGAAAUCCUGGAGCUCAACUCCAGAACUGCCUUUGAUACUGGCGGACUUGAGUCCGGGAGAGGUGAGUGGAACUGCGAGUGUAGAGGUGAAAUUCGUAGAUAUUCGCAAGAACACCAGUGGCGAAGGCGGCUCACUGGCCCGGUACUGACGCUGAGGUGCGAAAGCGUGGGAGCAAACAGG
rnacentral:rRNA from 1 species